rnacentral:rRNA from 1 species
ACCGGCGCACGGGUGCGUAACGCGUAUGCAAUCUACCUUAUACAGGGGGAUAGCCCAGAGAAAUCUGGAUUAAUACCCCAUAGUAUAAUUGAAUGGCAUCAUUUAAUUAUUAAAGUUCCAACGGUAUAAGAUGAGCAUGCGUCUCAUUAGCUAGAUGGUAAGGUAACGGCUUACCAUGGCUACGAUGGGUAGGGGUCCUGAGAGGGAGAUCCCCCACACUGGUACUGAGACACGGACCAGACUCCUACGGGAGGCAGCAGUGAGGAAUAUUGGUCAAUGGACGCAAGUCUGAACCAGCCAUGCCGCGUGCAGGAUGACGCAUCUAUGGUGUGUAAACUGCUUUUGUACGGGAAGAAACACUCCCUCGUGAGGGAGCUUGACGGUACCGUAAGAAUAAGGAUCGGCUAACUCCGUGCCAGCAGCCGCGGUAAUACGGAGGAUCCAAGCGUUAUCCGGAAUCAUUGGGAUUAAAGGGCCCGUAGGCGGUUUUAUAAGUCAGUGGUGAAAUCUGGUCGCUCAACGAUCAAACGGCCAUUGAUACUGUAAGACUUGAAUUACUUGGAAGUAACUAGAAUAUGUAGUGUAGCGGUGAAAUGCUUAGAGAUUACAUGGAAUACCAAUUGCGAAGGCAGGUUACUACGAGUAUAUUGACGCUGAUGGACGAAAGCGUGAGGAGCGAACAGGAUUAGAUACCCUGGUA